rnacentral:piRNA from 1 species
UAUCAAUAGUGUGGUCACCACACCCUACAA